rnacentral:rRNA from 1 species
GAUGAACGCUGGCGGCGUGCCUAAUACAUGCAAGUCGAGCGAACAGACGAGGAGCUUGCUCCUCUGACGUUAGCGGCGGACGGGUGAGUAACACGUGGAUAACCUACCUAUAAGACUGGGAUAACUUCGGGAAACCGGAGCUAAUACCGGAUAAUAUAUUGAACCGCAUGGUUCCAUAGUGAAAGACGGUUUUGCUGUCACUUAUAGAUGGAUCCGCGCCGCAUUAGCUAGUUGGUAAGGUAACGGCUUACCAAGGCAACGAUGCGUAGCCGACCUGGGAGGGUGAUCGGCCACACUGGAACUGAGACACGGUCCAGACUCCUACGGGAGGCAGCAGUAGGGAAUCUUCCGCAAUGGGCGAAAGCCUGACGGAGCAACGCCGCGUGAGUGAUGAAGGUCCUCGGAUCGUAAAACUCUGUUAUUAGGGAAGAACAAAUGUGUAAGUAACUAUGCACGUCUUGACGGUACCUAAUCAGAAAGCCACGGCUAACUACGUG